rnacentral:rRNA from 1 species
AUUGAACGCUGGCGGCAUGCUUUACACAUGCAAGUCGAACGGUAACAGGCCGCAAGGUGCUGACGAGUGGCGAACGGGUGAGUAAUGCAUCGGAACGUGCCCAGUCGUGGGGGAUAACGCAGCGAAAGCUGUGCUAAUACCGCAUACGAUCUGUGGAUGAAAGCGGGGGACCGAAAGGCCUCGCGCGAUUGGAGCGGCCGAUGUCAGAUUAGGUAGUUGGUGGGGUAAAGGCCCACCAAGCCAACGAUCUGUAGCUGGUCUGAGAGGACGACCAGCCACACUGGGACUGAGACACGGCCCAGACUCCUACGGGAGGCAGCAGUGGGGAAUUUUGGACAAUGGGGGCAACCCUGAUCCAGCAAUGCCGCGUGCAGGAAGAAGGCCUUCGGGUUGUAAACUGCUUUUGUACGGAACGAAACGGUCUGGGUUAAUACCCUGGGCUAAUGACGGUACCGCAAGAAUAAGCACCGGCUAACUACGUGCCAGCCGCCGCGGUAAUAC